GUUUAAAUAAUCAAAAUGUUCUAUCAAUAAGAUCCAGACAAAUUCUUAUCUGCUACUUCAAAAUCCGAGAUGGAGGAAGACACCACAGCCACCUUAAAUGUACUGUUGAGAGAUAUUGAUCAGAAAGUGCUAGAGUUGGAGGAAAUGGAAGAGAAGUGUGAAAGGGCAGAAGAAACUUGUCAUUGUCUCCAGCUUCAAAGUACUAAGA